CAUCCUCCAAGGCUAAAUACUCCUGACUGACCGAUAGUGAACCAGUACCGUGAGGGAAAGGCGAAAAGAACCCCGGCGAGGGGAGUGAAAAAGAACCUGAAACCGUGUACGUACAAGCAGUGGGAGCCCCACCACCAAAGCAUUUGCUGUACCGCGUUGACGGAGCGAAGCGACGUCAAACCGAUAAAACAGCAGUGUAAAGUGAGCCGCAGGGCGCUUUGCGCGACAGCGCAAAGGCAGGCGGUUUCGCGUAGCGAAAGCGAAUGCUUUGGGGUGGGGUGACUGCGUACCUUUUGUAUAAUGGGUCAGCGACUUAUAUUCUGUAGCAAGGUUAACCGAAUAGGGGAGCCGGAGGGAAACCGAGUCUUAAUUGGGCGUUAAGUUGCAGGGUAUAGACCCGAAACC
rnacentral:rRNA from 4 species